CCUACGGGAGACUGCAGUGGGGAAUAUUGCACAAUGGGGGAAACCCUGAUGCAGCGACGCCGCGUGAGUGAAGAAGGAUUUCGGGAUGGAAAGCUCUAUCAGCAGGGAAGAAAAUGACGGUACCUGAAUAAGAAGCCGCGGAUAACGACGUGCAAGCAGCCGCGGCAAUACGUAGGGGGCAAGCGUUAGCCGGAUUGACUGGGGGUAAAGGGAGCGUAGACGGCUGCGCAAGUCUGGAGUGAACUCCCCUGGCUUACCCCUGGAACUGCUUGGGAAACUGUGCAGCUGGAGUGCAGGAGAGGUGAGCGGAAUUCCUAGUGUAGCCGUGACAUGCGU
rnacentral:rRNA from 1 species